rnacentral:rRNA from 1 species
GAUGAACGCUGGCGGCGUGCCUAAUACAUGCAAGUCGAGCGAACGGACGAGAAGCUUGCUUCUCUGAUGUUAGCGGCGGACGGGUGAGUAACACGUGGAUAACCUACCUAUAAGACUGGGAUAACUUCGGGAAACCGUAGCUAAUACCGGAUAAUAUUUUGAACCGCAUGGUUCAAAAGUGAAAGACGGUCUUGCUGUCACUUAUAGAUGGAUCCGCGCUGCAUUAGCUAGUUGGUAAGGUAACGGCUUACCAAGGCAACGAUGCAUAGCCGACCUGAGAGGAUGAUCGGCCACACUGGAACUGAGACACGGUCCAGACUCCUACGGGAGGCAGCAGUAGGGAAUCUUGCGCAAUGGGCGAAAGCCUGACGGAGCAACGCCGCGUGUGUGAUGAAGGUCUUCGGAUCGUAAAACUCUGUUAUUAGGGAAGAACAUAUGUGUAAGUAACUGUGCACAUCUUGACGGUACCUAAUCAGAAAGCCACGGCUAACUACGUG